GACUCUCGACAACGGAUAUCUUGGCUCUCGCCACGAUGAAGAACGUAGCGAAAUGCGAUACUUGAUGUGAAUUGUAGAAUCCCAUGAAUCAUCAAGUCUUUGCACGCAAGUUACGUCCGAGGCCGUAGGUUGAGGGCAAGCCUGCCUAGGCGUCA
rnacentral:rRNA from 1 species